AAUAUUGGACAAUGGGGGCAACCCUGAUCCAGCCAUGCCGCGUAUGUGAAGAAGGUCUUCGGAGUGUAAAGCACUUUAAGUUGGGAGGAAGGGCUUUAGGCGAAUACCCUGAAGUUUUGACGUUACCAACAGAAUAAGCACAGGCUAACUCUGUGCCAGCAGCCGCGGUAAGACAGAGGGUGCAAGCGUUAAUCGGAAUUACUGGGAGGAAAGGGGGCGUAGGUGGUUCAUGAAAGUGGGUGUGAAAUCCCCGGGCUUAACCUGGGAACUGCUUUCAUAACUGCUGAGCUAGAGUACGGUAGAGGGUAGUGGAAUUUCCUGUGUAGCGGUGAAAUGCGUAGAUAUAGGAAGGAACACCAGUGGCGAAGGCGACUACCUGGACUGAUACUGACACUGAGGUGCGAAAGCGUGGGGAGCAAAC
rnacentral:rRNA from 1 species